UUUAAGGGCACACGGUGGAUGCCUUGGCAUAUCAAGCCGAUGAAGGACGUGAGAGGCUGCGUUAUGCCUCGGGGAGUUGCCAACUAAGCGUUGAUCCGAGGAUGUCCGAAUGGGGAAACCCAGCCGCAGUGAUGUGUGGUUACCUGCCGGUGAAUAUAUAGCCGGUGUGGAGGUUGACACGGGGAAGUGAAACAUCUCAGUACCCGCAGGAAGAGAAAACAACCGUGAUUCCGUGAGUAGUGGCGAGCGAAAGCGGAAGAGGCUAAACCGUACUCGUGUGAUACCCGGCAGGGGUUGCGUGUGCGGGGUCGUGGGACCUGUCUGAUCGUUCUGCCGGACGGUCGGGGAGUCAUAAAACAUCGUGGUUAGCGGAACGUUGCUGGAAAGCGCGACCGUAGUGGGUGAGAGUCCCGUACGCGAAAACCUGAUGUCUCCCGACGGGGAUCCCAAGUAGCAGCGAGCUCGUGGAAUUCGCUGUGAAUCUGGCGGGACCACCC
rnacentral:rRNA from 14 species